rnacentral:rRNA from 1 species
CCGAGGAAAAGAAAUCAACCGAGAUUCCCCCAGUAGCGGCGAGCGAACGGGGAGCAGCCCAGAGCCUGAAUCAGUGUGUGUGUUAGUGGAAGCGUCUGGAAAGGCGCGCGAUACAGGGUGACAGCCCCGUACACAAAAAUGCACAUGCUGUGAGCUCGAUGAGUAGGGCGGGACACGUGGUAUCCUGUCUGAAUAUGGGGGGACCAUCCUCCAAGGCUAAAUACUCCUGACUGACCGAUAGUGAACCAGUACCGUGAGGGAAAGGCGAAAAGAACCCCGGCGAGGGGAGUGAAAAAGAACCUGAAACCGUGUACGUACAAGCAGUGGGAGCACAGAGCAAUCUGUGUGACUGCGUACCUUUUGUAUAAUGGGUCAGCGACUUAUAUUCUGUAGCAAGGUUAACCGAAUAGGGGAGCCGAAGGGAAACCGAGUCUUAACUGGGCGUUAAGUUGCAGGGUAUAGACCCGAAACCCGGUGAUCUAGCCAUGGGCAGGUUGAAGGUUGGGUAACACUAACUGGAGGACCGAACCGACUAAUGUUGAAAAAUUAGCGGAUGACUUGUGGCUGGGGGUGAAAGGCCAAUCAAACCGGGAGAUAGCUGGUUCUCCCCGAAAGCUAUUUAGGUAGCGCCUCGUGAAUUCAUCUCCGGGGGUAGAGCACUGUUUCGGCAAGGGGGUCAUCCCGACUUACCAACCCGAUGCAAACUGCGAAUACCGGAGAAUGUUAUCACGGGAGACACACGGCGGGUGCUAACGUCCGUCGUGAAGAGGGAAACAACCCAGACCGCCAGCUAAGGUCCCAAAGUCAUGGUUAAGUGGGAAACGAUGUGGGAAGGCCCAGACAGCCAGGAUGUUGGCUUAGAAGCAGCCAUCAUUUAAAGAAAGCGUAAUAGCUCACUGGUCGAGUCGGCCUGCGCGGAAGAUGUAACGGGGCUAAACCAUG